rnacentral:lncRNA from 1 species
CCGUGUUCCUGGCCUUAACUCCCUCACCCCCGACGGAAUCUCUUGGCUGCUGUGUUUGAGAUUCUUACGUGAAAUGGGUUUUAAGCAGUGAUCUGAUCCACGGAGACGUGGGGGCUGCUUUCUGAGAUUCACACCCUUGUGUAAUUCCCUCCUUUGAGUGUGAGCUGAAUCGGUGACUCGUUUCAAAUCAACAGAAGACUGCAAAAUCGAUGGGAUGCGUGUGAUCACAUGUUCAGGAUUAUGGGACGUAAGACGGUGCUGUCUCCUGCCGGGGCACGCUCUCUCUGUCUCUCUCUCCCUUGAUGCUUUUGAGGAAGGAAGCUGCCAAGUUGUGAGCUGCCCUCGGGCCACAUGGCAUGGAACUGAAGCUGUCCCAUGGAACUAGGAGCUGUGGAUGAGAACUCAGCCCCAGCCGACACCUUGACUGCAGCCUCCCAGAGCACCCAGCUAAGCUGUGUCCGGACCGACAGAACCCGUGAGCCAUACCCGUGUGCUGUUUCAAGCUGCUAAGUGUUGGGACCCCAGAGAUGGCAGAGGCACGAGAUGGAAGGAGCCCGCAUCCUUGAAUCAUCGUACAUCAACCCAGAGAACCCAUUUUCCACCCAGAUGUGAAAACUCAGGUCUGGAAAGAGACAGUCACGUGAGUGAGCAAGAACGUGGGAGAUUAUUUGUUACAGCACCUGGCAUUACCCUAACCCGGUGGGUCUCAACGGGAGGUCGUUUUGUCUCCCAGGGGACAUUUGGCCAGGUUUGGAGACAUUAUUGACCGUUACAACUGGGGAAGAGGGAGCUACACUGGCCUCUGGUGGGUGGAGACCAGAGAUGCCGCUCAACAUCCUACAAUGCACAGCAUGGCCCCCACAACAAAGAAUUAUCCAACCCCCAAUGUCAACAGAAACCUUGUCCUAACUAAAUGAACUCCUCACACAGAACCAUUUUAUUUAUAUUUCUCCCGUGCCAUUGGGCACAUUCACCUUUCUCAGCCAAGGAGAGAGAAGGGUUGUUCAGUUUAGGGCAGGGCAGGGCAUUCCUGGGGUGGGACCCUGCUGAGAAUAGAGUUGGCUUAGCAGCCACUGCUUGUUUUGGCUUUGCCAAAUGGGUGGACGGAGGAUGUGACUUCAAAACUGACCUUUGGGUUCUCCAGGGUGGGGAACCUGCGUUGAGGUCUCAGACAGACCCACUCCCUGGACUCGGGGGUCAGAGCAAGUUCGGGAGAAUAAGGCUGCAGCUGAGUUCUAGGAGUUUCACUGGCUGUUGGUAACCUGAUGGCGAUGAUGCGAGAUUAUUGUUUUAUUACCUGGGGUGUUUGCGAU